CCGAGCUCCUGGAUCCCCGCCUGGCACCGCCUGUGACGUCAUUCCUGGUGCGCGUACCUGAAGCCGGGCGUCUGGACCUCCGCGCUGCCCCUCACUAGCUGCGUCCGGGGCGGUCACCCUCGCGGGACCUCAGUUUCUGCCCUUGUAAAAUGGGGACAGCUGCGUCCUUGUACUUCAAAGGCUAGUGAUGUGGUUGCUGCAAAUGUAAAAUGUACGGCUCGUGCUACACUUGCCAUUCCUAACGUGGGUGACAGUCCAGCCAAAAUACCCUCGAAAAAAAGAGCCCCAGCGGUGAUUUUUGCUUACUCUUGUCUGAAAUACUUAAGUAUAACUAUAGAAUAUGUUCAGUGAAAACACCUGAAGGAGAGCAAAGCGCAGUAGUAAGCUUCCAUCUUGACAAAUUGUUGAACCAAAAUAAAUCAUUGCAAUUACUGCAUGACUUCAACAUCAAACAAGUCGGAGGUUCUGCAGGUAAAUGAUUUAUUUUGUUUUAGCAUGAACGUUUUCACAAAUAUCUAGAGAUCAAAACCAAAACACAUUAUUUUGGCUAUGGGAGGCUUCAUUUGAUACUUAAAAUUCCAUUUUCAUUACCAGUCUCAGUUCAGAAAUCGUCCCAAAAGUUAUAUGACCUCGUAAAUGUUUUUCAUCAUAACAAUAUCAGGCCCAAAUAUUAAAUAUUCCUUUCUCUUCUGUGCCAAAGUUCUUCUCCUUAUCCUCUGCCCAAUGUUCUUGCACACUUCGUAUGCCAUGUAUAACUAGAACCUAAAAACCAAAACCUUUAAAAACAAAUAAUCAUUUGAAAAUCAUCUACACCUUAAAAACUGGUUGGAAAUCCAUAAAGCUCUGUAUCCUGGUAAUCAAGUUAUGUUGCUGCUGAAGUAAACAAAUUAGUACAUGAUCUGAUUCUGUAUGGUGGCAUUAGCAGGGAAUUGAAACAGUCCGAAAUAGCCAAACCAAACUCGGCCAUAAAUUGAAAACGAAAAUAAAGAACCAAUUGUUAAGACUUCAUGAAUUGGCAUUCAUAAACAACACAGCUCUGCAUUAUAUGUAUUCAAAAUAUCUUCCUUCUUACUGGCAAGAAGGGAAAUCAACAAUCUUUAUUACUAAAAAUUUGUGGAAUAUUUAUAAAUGCAUGAUUUUAUUUUCCAAACUGGCAAUUAAAUAUCAAACUACAAUUUUCA